rnacentral:rRNA from 1 species
UACGGGGGGGGCAAGCGUUGUUCGGAAUUACUGGGCGUAAAGGGCUCGUAGGCGGCCAACUAAGUCAGACGUGAAAUCCCCAGGCUCAACCUGGGAACUGCGUCUGAUACUGGUUGGCUUGAAUCCGGGAGAGGGAUGCAGAAUUCCAGGUGUAGCGGUGAAAUGCGUAGAUAUCUGGAGGAAUACCGGUGGCGAAGGCGGCAUCCUGGACCGACACUGACACUGAGGAGCGAAAGCCAGGGGAGCAAACGGG